AGGUACCUGUUGUUCUUUCGGUAACGUCGUGAUGAACAUGCGAUGCCUUUAAAAUGCUACGGAUACUAAAGCAGAGUGCAGUUCCUGUGUAGAAACUGAGGACAGACAAGUAAGUGGCUUGUUUUAAUGUAAUUUAGUUUAGGCAACUCCGGUAAGCAUUUUUUUUUUUUUUUUUAAUUAAACCAUAUGAUAUUGGAUUUUGGUGUAUAUAUAUGUUAAGUCAAGUUUU
rnacentral:lncRNA from 1 species